AAAUAGAUACCCAGGUAGUCCACGCCGUAAACGAUGAGUGCUAAGUGUUAGAGGGUUUCCGCCCUUUAGUGCUGCAGCUAACGCAUUAAGCACUCCGCCUGGGGAGUACGGCCGCAAGGCUGAAACUCAAAGGAAUUGACGGGGGCCCGCACAAGCGGUGGAGCAUGUGGUUUAAUUCGAAGCAACGCGAAGAACCUUACCAGGUCUUGACAUCCUCUGACACUCCUAGAGAUAGGAUUUUCCCCUUCGGGGGACAGAGUGACAGGUGGUGCAUGGUUGUCGUCAGCUCGUGUCGUGAGAUGUUGGGUUAAGUCCCGCAACGAGCGCAACCCUUGAUCUUAGUUGCCAGCAUUUAGUUGGGCACUCUAAGGUGACUGCCGGUGACAAACCGGAGGAAGGUGGGGAUGACGUCAAAUCAUCAUGCCCCUUAUGACCUGGGCUACACACGUGCUACAAUGGAUGGUACAAAGGGCAGCAAAGCCGCGAGGCCUAGCCAAUCCCAUAAAACCAUUCUCAGUUCGGAUUGUAGG
rnacentral:rRNA from 1 species